UUAGCUAGUUGGUAAGGUAACGGCUUACCAAGGCAAUGAUGCAUAGCCGAGUUGAGAGACUGAUCGGCCACAUUGGGACUGAGACACGGCCCAAACUCCUACGGGAGGCAGCAG
rnacentral:rRNA from 1 species